CUACCAUUUCAGACAAAUUGUGAUAAGCCUGAGUUAAUAAUUUGUUUUUGUAUAUUCCCAGUUAGACGUUGAUAUUCAAAGGUAGGAGUCAUCUAGUUUCCCCUUGGAGCCCUUUUUAAGCAUCCGUGCUGAUCAUCAUGAAUGUGCACAGCAGGCCAACCACAAUGGAUCAGAGAAUUUGGGAAGAGUGUGUCUCAGUGGAAUCUGGGACUGGUGACCAGAGAGGGCACCCAAGGUCUCAGCUAUCAACUGUGAGAUUUCUGAUUCUUCUUUUCAUAUCUGCCAAACAUUAUCAAAAAUACCAUGAUUUCAAUAUAAUUACUUAUAAAAAAAGAAAGAGCUGGGCUCACUUCUCACCUAAUUUAUGGAUGCAAAUAUAUGCAUAUAAUAUAGGAACGACUCUUUUAGUUCUCAGAUUUAAUAGCACAGAGGUUUUUUCCAGGAUAGAGUAAAAUAUCUCUCAAUGCAGGAAUGGCC
rnacentral:lncRNA from 1 species